AAUCCAUGCAUCAUACAUUUCUAAAUUAAAUCUUUAAAUCAUUCCCAAGCUUCAUAUAGUGUUUCAUCUUCCAAUUUUCAAAAAGAUGUAAUGUUAUUUCUAAGCUU
rfam:Gossypium arboreum cultivar AKA8401 contig_23280_1, whole genome shotgun sequence.